CAGCCGCCGCGGUAAUACGUAAGGAGCGAGCGUUGUCCGGAUUCACUGGGCGUAAAGCGCUCGUAGGCGGCUCCUUAAGUCUCACGUGAAAGCCCCCGGCUCAACCGGGGAGGGUCGUGGGAAACUGGGGAGCUUGAGGGCAGGAGAGGAGAGUGGAAUUCCCGGUGUAGCGGUGAAAUGCAUAGAUAUCGGGAGGAACACCAGUGGCGAAGGCGGCUCUCUGGUCUGUCCCUGACGCUGAGGAGCGAAAGCCAGGGGAGCGAACCGGAUUAGAUACCCGGGUAGUCCUGGCUGUAAACGAUGGGUACUAGGUGUGGGAGGUUCGACCCCUUCCGUGCCGCAGCUAACGCAUUAAGUACCCCGCCUGGGGAGUACGGCCGCAAGGUUGAAACUUAAAGGAAUUGGCGGG
rnacentral:rRNA from 1 species